rnacentral:rRNA from 1 species
GUUGGGUAGGGGAGCGUUCUGUAAGCCUGCGAAGGUGUACUGUGAGGUAUGCUGGAGGUAUCAGAAGUGCGAAUGCUGACAUAAGUAACGAUAAUGCGGGUGAAAAACCCGCACGCCGGAAGACCAAGGGUUCCUGUCCAACGUUAAUCGGGGCAGGGUGAGUCGACCCCUAAGGCGAGGCUGAAAAGCGUAGUCGAUGGGAAACGGGUUAAUAUUCCCGUACUGGUGGUAACUGCGAUGGGGGAACGGAGAAGGCUAGGUUGUCCGGGCGACGGUCGUCCCGGUUCAAGCAGGUAGGCAGAGUGAUUAGGCAAAUCCGGUCACUUAAUGCUGAGAUGUGAUGACGAACCACCAAGGUGGUGAAGCAAUUGAUGCCCCGCUUCCAGGAAAAGCCUCUAAGCUUCAGGUUACCAACAAUCGUACCCCAAACCGACACAGGUGGUCAGGUAGAGAAUACUCAGGCGCUUGAGAGAACUCGGGUGAAGGAACUAGGCAAAAUGGUGCCGUAACUUCGGGAGAAGGCACGCUGGCGGUAGGUAAAGUCCCUCGCGGACAGCGCUGAAGCCAGUCGAAGAUACCAGCUGGCUGCAACUGUUUAUUAAAAACACAGCACUGUGCAAACACGAAAGUGGACGUAUACGGUGUGACGCCUGCCCGGUGCUGGAAGGUUAAUUGAUGGGGUCAGCCGUAAGGCGAAGCUCCUGAUCGAAGCCCCAGUAAACGGCGGCCGUAACUAUAACGGUCCUAAGGUAGCGAAAUUCCUUGU